rnacentral:lncRNA from 1 species
AUUGAAUUAUCUUAUUAAGACAAUUCAUGGUUCAUAUGCUUAGUCAGAAGGAAUAAUCCAAUGGAGUUCAUGGAUUUACCUAGGUCAGUUUAGUUUAUGGGCUAAUCAAUAAAGGAUUUUUAUCUUCGAAACCCAUUGGAAAGGGCAGUGCAAGAGAAAUCAUACAAAAAUGAUCGGAUCUUGGGACGCCCCGAAAAAGAUAUGAGGUGC